CUUGGUCAUUUAGAGGAAGUAAAAGUCGUAACAAGGUUUCCGUAGGUGAACCUGCGGAAGGAUCAUUAGUGAUUAAUUAUUGAGUGUAAAAAACUCAUAAUCUUCUAUACAAACCACUGUUUUAAAAUGUUUACUAGAAUGUCCAAGCAGUUAAGCUGUUGAAAUAUUAAAAGUUUAAUAAAACUUUCAGCAACGGAUCUCUUGGUUCAGGCAUCGAUGAAGAACGCAGCGAAAUGCGAUAAGUAAUGUGAAUUGCAGAUACAGUGAAUCAUCGAAUCUUUGAACGCAAAUGGCACUCUAUGGUAUUCCGUAGAGUACGUCUGUUAGAGCGUCGCGAACAUCUCCAUAAUUAGUUUUUUUUAAAUUGAUUGUGGGUUUUGAGGUUGUCAUAUAAACAAUGACUCCCUUUAAAAUAAUUAGUGAUGACCUUAUGAAUGGGUUAAUACUGUGUGUUAUAAUGGAUUACAUCCAUCACCAGUCAGAGAGUAAUCUCGCCUUAGUAAUUUGUAGUGAUUGCUUCUAACUGCCAUUGGCAAACAAACUGAUCAAAUCGACCUCAAAUCAGAUGGGAUUACCCGCUGAACUUAAGCAUAUCAAUAAGCGGAGGA
rnacentral:rRNA from 1 species